UUUGAUAAGGCUAGAAUUUGUAACAAUUAUCUAUCCUUAUAUGCAUGCUUUUUGAGUGAUUAUUAGUCUGUUCGAGCUUCAUUCUUGUGUGAUUUCGUGUUUUGGCAUUAUGUGCCUAGACCCGUUCAUUUGGACCGUUUCGGUCCAUUUGAUGUGUUUCUUCGUAGUAUUUGUUGUCCACAGGUACUCUAGAGAUAGGUGGUCUUGUUAUGAAGUAAUGAACGUGAAGUAGAGCACGGUUGGAGCUCGAACGGAAGAUUGAGAAAUGAAAUUGAUGAGCAGAGGGGUUGCACGCCGUGCACCUAUGCACGCCGUGCACCCCUAGGAUGCUUCCAAAUCACGGCCCUUAAGCAGGGGAACGUCGUGCACCCUUUCACGGCGUUCCUCCCAUUUAAAUAUGCAACAAUUUUUAAAAAAGGAGGUGCACGCCGUGCACGUGUGCACGCCGUGCACCCCCUAGUUUCAGCAACUUUCUAUAAAAGGGCUGAUUUUGAGGAAAGAGAGGAGAACUUCCCCAACUCGAUUUUCCCCGAUUUUUCCCGAGUUUUCUCUGCAAAAACCAGCACCCAACCUCUUCUAGAGCCCAAAUUGAAGAUCUAAAGGAGCUGCCUUUGAA
rnacentral:lncRNA from 1 species